GACGAACGCGGCCGGCGUGCCAUAAUACACGCAAGUAGAACGAUGAAGAGAGGAGCUUGCUCUUCUUGGCUGAGUUGCGAACGGGUGAGUAACGCGUAGGUAACCCUGCCUGGUAGCGGGGGAUAACUAUUGGAAACGAUAGCUAAUACCGCAUAAAAUUGAUUAUUGCAUGAUAAUUAAUUGAAAGAUGCAAUUGCAUCACUACCAGAUGGACCUGCGUUGUAUUAGCUAGUUGGUGAGGUAACGGCUCACCAAGGCGACGAUACAUAGCCGACCUGAGAGGGUGAUCGGCCACACUGGGACUGAGACACGGCCCAGACUCCUACGGGAGGCAGCAGUAGGGAAUCUUCGGCAAUGGGGGGAACCCUGACCGAGCAACGCCGCGUGAGUGAAGAAGGUUUUCGGAUCGUAAAGCUCUGUUGUAAGAGAAGAACGAGUGUGAGAGUGGAAAGUUCACACUGUGACGGUAACUUACCAGAAAGGGACGGCUAACUACGUGCCAGCAGCCGCGGUAAUACGUAGGUCCCGAGCGUUAUCCGGAUUUAUUGGGCGUAAAGCGAGCGCAGGCGGUUAGAUAAGUCUGAAGUUAAAGGCUGUGGCUUAACCAUAGUACGCUUUGGAAACUGUUUAACUUGAGUGCGGAAGGGGAGAGUGGAAUUCCAUGUGUAGCGGUGAAAUGCGUAGAUAUAUGGAGGAACACCGGUGGCGAAAGCGGCUCUCUGGUCUGUAACUGACGCUGAGGCUCGAAAGCGUGGGGAGCAAACAGG
rnacentral:rRNA from 1 species